rnacentral:rRNA from 1 species
UACGUAGGGUGCAAGCGUUGUCCGGAAUUAUUGGGCGUAAAGGGCUCGUAGGCGGUCCAUCGCGUCGGGAGUGAAAAGCUGGGGCUUAACCCCAGUCCUGCUUCCGAUACGGGUGGACUAGAGGUAGGCAGGGAGGAAGACGGAAUUCCUGGUGUAGCGGUGAAAUGCGCAGAUAUCAGGAGGAACACCGGUGGCGAAGGCGGUUCUCUGGGCCUUACCUGACGCUGAGGAGCGAAAGCGUGGGGAGCGAACAGG